GGGCCCGCACAAGCGGUGGAGCAUGUGGUUUAAUUCGAUGCAACGCGAAGAACCUUACCUACCCUUGACAUCAUCAGAACUUGUUAGAGAUAACUCGGUGCCUUCGGGAACUGGUUGACAGGUGCUGCAUGGCUGUCGUCAGCUCGUGUCGUGAGAUGUUGGUUAAGUCCCGCAACGAGCGCAACCCUUAUCCUUAGUUGCCAGCACGUAAUGGUGGGGACUCUAAGGAGACUGCCGGUGACAAGCCGGAGGAAGGCGGGGACGACGUCAAGUCAUCAUGGCCCUUACCGGGUAGGGCUACACACGUGGCUACAAUGGUCGGUACAGAGGGUUGCCAAGUCGCGAGGCGGAGCU
rnacentral:rRNA from 1 species